UGGGGAGUAGCCAAGUGGUUAAGGCAUUGGACUUUGACUCCAUGAUCGAGGGUUCGAUUCCCUCCUCCCCUGCCAA
rnacentral:tRNA from 1 species